UACGUAGGGCGCAAGCGUUGUCCGGAAUCAUUGGGCGUAAAGCGCGCGUAGGUGGCCACAUAAGUCCGUUGUGAAAGUCAAAGGCUCAACCUUUGAAAGCCGAUGGAUACUGUGUGGCUAGAGUACGGAAGAGGCGAGUGGAAUUCCUGGUGUAGCGGUGGAAUGCGCAGAUAUCAGGAGGAACACCAAUAGCGAAGGCAGCUCGCUGGGACGUUACUGACACUGAGGCGCGAAAGCGUGGGGAGCGAACAGG
rnacentral:rRNA from 1 species